AUGCGGGCCUGGUCCGAGUUGGGGGAGAUGUGCGCCUCCAGCACCGCGCAGAUCUCGCGCAGCCCCUCCUCCUGCGGCUGCCACAGCGCCGCCGCCCCGGUCGCCACCGCCGCGGUCGCCAUCGCCGACGAUGCGCCGGAGGCGUGGGUUGGGUGGCGUCGGGAGAGCGGGUGCUACGGCCGACGAGGCGGGCGAAGGGGAAGGGAGCGGGGGAGGAGUGAAUCGGCGGCGGCGGCGGCGGCGGCGGCGGCGGCGGGAGGCGGAGGGGAAUCGAUCGUCCAACCACAGCGGGCCAAGUAG
rnacentral:rRNA from 1 species